rnacentral:sRNA from 1 species
UUGUUGCCGCUCAUUAACUGAAUGAUGUUGAACAAGAGGAUGAAUGUGACUAAUUAUGUAGAUGUUAGGUCUUUGUUUUAUAUGUUUAAUGUGGGUAUGUGCCCUACAGUAGCCUUAAAGGUUUUAUUCUAUGGGGCGCUGUUUUAAUGUUUUUUAAAAGGUAUUUUCUGAUAUCAGUAAUUCAAAUAAAAUGGCAAAUAAAUUUCCCAUAUUUAAUGAAUUUACUCCCUUGACCUAAAUGAAAAUUGCUAAACUACCGUACAUAGCCCAAUUUGCAUAUUUUUUGAUAUCAAAAAUUCAAAUUUUUGAUAUCAAAAUCAUUUUCUGAUGUCAGAAAAUAGAGUUUUGAAAUCAAGAAUUUUUUUUAUAUUGACAAUUAUUUUUUUAAACAAUUCGAAUUAUUGAUAUCAAAUAUUUAUUUUUGGAUGUAAGAAAAUAGCUCAAAAAUAUUAAAACGGCGCCUCAUAUCAUUCCAUUUCAUACUGUGUUGGUUUACUUUUGAUUCUGUAUUUAUAAAUGACCAUAUGUUGAUUAAAAAGGUAGUAGAAAAGUC